UGGUGAUUUUAUGAGACUGCCCCACU
rnacentral:piRNA from 1 species